UUCUCCCACACUCGGAGGGUAUGUGGGAGAAGCUCUCCAAAGUUCCGAAGUGGACAUGCCGCCAUCGCCGGCAAUGUUCCUGGAAUGUGGAAACACGACGCCAUCCAGCUCGUCGCGUCGAACUUCCCCGCCUUCGCCUGCAAUGUUUCUUCAAUGUGGAGAAACGAUGCCAAGGACACCAUCAAGGUCACAAGUGCGUCGUCACUCUCGUCAGGUCUUAAAUGAUC